AGGUGUGGGACAGACAGUAACAGACAGUAAAUUAACGCUGAGGUGUGGGACAGACAGUAAAUUAACACUGAGGUGUGGGACAGACAGUAACAGACAGUAAAUUAACACUGAGGUGUGGGACAGACAGUAAAUUAACACUGAGGUGUGGAACAGACAAUAACAGACAGUAAAUUAACACUGAGGUAUGGGACAGACAGUAACAGACAGUAAAUUAACACUGAGGUGUGGAACAGACAAUAACAGACAGUAAAUUAACACUGAGGUAUGGGACAGACAGUAACAGACAGUAAAUUAACACUGAGGUAUGGGACAGACAGUAACAGACAGUAAAUUAACACUGAGGUGUGGAACAGACAGUAACAGACAGUAAAUUAACACUGAGGUGAGGGACAGACAGUAAAUUAACACUGAGGUGUGGGACAGACAGUAACAGACAGUAAAUUAACACUGAGGUGUGGAACAGACAAUAACAGACAGUAAAUUAACACUGAGGUAUGGGACAGACAGUAACAGACAGUAAAUUAACACUGAGGUGUGGGACAGACAGUAAAUUAACACUGAGGUGUGGGACAGACAGUAACAGACAGUAAAUUAACACUGAGGUGUGGGACAGACAGUAAAUUAACACUGAGGUGUGGGACAGACAGUAACAGACAGUAAAUUAACACUGAGUUGAGGGACAGACAGUAAAUUAACACUGAGGUGAGGGACAGACAGUAAAUUAACGCUGAGGUGAGGGACAGACAGUAAAUUAACGCUGAGGUGUGGGACAGACAGUAACAGACAGUAAAUUAACACUGAGGUGUGGGACAGACAGUAACAGACA